UAGCAUGUGGGGCAAGCGUUGUUCGGAAUUACUGGGCAUAAAGGGUGCGUAGGCGGCUUGUUAAGUCAGGGGUGAAAGUUUUCGGCCCAACCGGAAAAUUGCCUUUGAUACUGGACGAGCUCGAGUGCGUGAGGGGUAACCGGAACGAGUCGGUGUAGCGUGAAAUGCGGUAGAAUAUGACUCGGAAGGCCAACGGCGAAGGCAGGUACUGGUACGCAACUGACGCUGAGGCACGAAAGCGUGGGGAGCAAACAGGAUU
rnacentral:rRNA from 1 species